ACUGGCCAAAGUGCUGCGUUUAGCUCCAUGGGGAUGUGGCCACCGUUCCCUCUGCGGCCCGGGAAGUAUCUCAGAGGAGCAGGGUAGUACCAGAUAGGGAGAGCCAGAGCGAAUAAAUCCAGUUCCAGCAUGGAGAGGGGAGCUGGGCAUGAAGUGCCACCCUUAGCUACUGGCAGUGUUAGCUUUGGGGAGAGGAAAGGUCACUUUUCUCUAAGAGAGUAGCCCUGAUAAGCCGACCAUGCUCCAGUGGAAGGCCACACGUCUAAGGAUAUUUGGGCAGCACAAACUGGCCUUAA